rnacentral:lncRNA from 1 species
UUCUUCCCCUCCUCCCUAUACCACCGUGAAUGGCCGCUAGCUGUCGGAUUCACUAAAAAACCCAUCAAGAAUGGAUGCUCUAUUUUUCUCUAUUUGGUUGGGCCCUAUUUCUCCUUUUUCUAGCCUUCGACGCUGUCGUUUGCAAUGCCUCAACUAUGGAUCAUGACCCCCACCACUCUAGCUUCCUUCUCCAGAGGUUUGACCGUCGAUGAUCGAAAAAAUCAAAGACAAGGGGGCGAUCCCCUAUUUUUUUGAGUUUUUUAUUUUUUUAUGUUGGCUGGUCACUUACCAUCAGCCAUCUCUUACUCCACCACCAUUAGCUACUUAUGUCACUGUCGGACU